rnacentral:lncRNA from 1 species
UAGAGGGGAAUGUCAGACAAGAUUUACUAAGUUGUUGGCUAGAUGAAUUUGGUUGCUAAGCUAGGAUAUGGUAUAAUGUGCUUUUGUGAUUAGGACUUUUGAGAUGUUGAUUGUAAUAUUGUAGAGGUGAUGAUUCUAAGUUUUAAAUCAUGUGAGUCCCUGCUGUUUUCAAACCUCUUUUAGAGCGACUGCGUGUUUGUUUUGCUUGAGGACA